GACGAACGCUGGCGGCGUGCUUAACACAUGCAAGUCGAACGGAAAGGCCCUGCUUUUGUGGGGUGCUCGAGUGGCGAAAGGGUGAGUAACACGUGAGUAACCUGCCCUUGACUUUGGGAUAACUUCAGGAAACUGGGGCUAAUACCGGAUAGGAGCUCCUGCUGCAUGGUGGGGGUUGGAAAGUUUCGGCGGUUGGGGAUGGACUCGCGGCUUAUCAGCUUGUUGGUGGGGUAGUGGCUUACCAAGGCUUUGACGGGUAGCCGGCCUGAGAGGGUGACCGGCCACAUUGGGACUGAGAUACGGCCCAGACUCCUACGGGAGGCAGAAGUGGGGAAUAUUGCACAAUGGGCGGAAGCCUGAUGCAGCAACGCCGCGUGCGGGAUGACGGCCUUCGGGUUGUAAACCGCUUUCGCCUGUGACGAAGCGUGAGUGACGGUAAUGGGUAAAGAAGCACCGGCUAACUACGUG
rnacentral:rRNA from 1 species